rnacentral:rRNA from 1 species
UACGGAGGGUGCAAGCGUUGUCCGGAUUUAUUGGGCGUAAAGAGCUCGUAGGCGGUUUGUCGCGUCUGCCGUGAAAGUCCGGGGCUUAACCCCGGAUCUGCGGUGGGUACGGGCAGACUUGAGUGAUGUAGGGGAGACUGGAAUUCCUGGUGUAGCGGUGAAAUGCGCAGAUAUCAGGAGGAACACCGAUGGCGAAGGCAGGUCUCUGGGCAUUAACUGACGCUGAGGAGCGAAAGCAUGGGGAGCGAACAGG